rnacentral:rRNA from 1 species
CCGGUUUUUCUCAAGUAGCGGCGAGCGAGCGGGAAGAGCUCAAAUUUGUAAUCUGGCGCUUUCAGCGUCCGAGUUGUAAUCUCUAGAAAUGUUUUCCGCGUUGGACCGCACACAAGUCUGUUGGAAUACAGCGGCACAGUGGUGAGACCCCCGUUCAUGGUGCGGAUGCCCAAUGCUUUGUGAUACAUUUUCGAAGAGUCGAGUUGUUUGGGAAUGCAGCUCAAAUUGGGUGGUAAAUUCCAUCUAAAGCUAAAUAUUGGCGAGAGACCGAUAGCGAACAAGUACCGUGAGGGAAAGAUGAAAAGCACUUUGGAAAGAGAGUUAACAGUACGUGAAAUUGUUGGAAGGGAAACGCUUGAAGUCAGACUUGCUAUUCGGAGUUCAGCCGCAAGGUGUACUCUCCGAGUUGCAGGCCAGCAUCAGUUUUCUGGGGUGGAAAAUCACGGUUUGAAGGUAGCAGUUUCGGCUGUGUUAUAGCUUUCCGUUGGAUACAUCCUGGGGGACUGAGGAACGCAGUGUGCUUUUAGCGGGGGUUUCGACCUCUUCACACUUAGGAUGCUGGUGGAAUGGCUUUAAACGACCCGUCUUGAACCACGGACAC